rnacentral:ncRNA from 1 species
UUGAGCCGUAUGAGUGGAAACUAUCAUGUACGGUUCUUAGGGGGGAAAGAGGCGGAAACGCCUCUGACCUACCCGGU